CCUCUUCCCAUCCGAGACGGAAAACACUAUAUCAGCCCUGCCGGUCCUCGGGCCGGCUAUGGCAAUAAAUGAGCGGUGUAAUAAACCUAUUGGACCCGGGGGCGGUACCCGGCGCCUCCACCAAAAACCGGCGGGCUUACAGUGAGAUGGCCGGCUUUUGAUGGGGGCGAAACAGGAUCGACAAGGGUGUAAAGAUCGUCUUUUUGCUCGGCAUUGUACCGCCGUUAUCGGGCUAAAAUUGUAGUUGCAAACGACAACUAUGCGGAAGCUCGUCUCGCUGCUUAAUCGCGGUGUGACACUUCAAAUAAAGCCCUAGUGGUUCGCACCUCUAGGCGGGGUCCGAAGGCACCUGGCAACAGAAGCCUUCACC
rfam:Rhizobium mesoamericanum STM3625 genomic scaffold, ANZ_1636